rnacentral:rRNA from 1 species
AUGCGUGUUACUGAUCAUAAUGUUACUACUUAUAUUCAUCUAAUUGCCAAUCAUCGUUUAAACUAUCAGAUCCGUAGUCAAAGUACACAUUUUUUGAGAGGUUUUCAACAACUCAUACCAAAAGAAUGGAUUGAUAUGUUCAAUGAACAUGAAGUUCAGUUUCUCAUAUCCGGCUCUCCGAAAAGUUUGGACAUUGAUGACUUGCGGUCAAACACCAAUUAUGCUGGAGGAUAUCAUGAGGGUCAUCAGGUUAUUGAUAUGUUCUGGGAGGUUUUAGCAAGCUUCUCUUCAUAUGAUCAGAACAAGUUUCUGAGGUUUGCCAUUGGAUGUUCUCGCGGCCCAUUUCGUGGAUUCCGACACGUUGUUCCAAAAUUUAGCAUUCUGAGAGAUUGUUACCUUGGAAUGGACGAGCAUAUAGACCGUUCGCCUACUUCGGUGACUUGCAUGAAUCAGCUGAAGCUCCCUCCUUAUGCAACCAAGGAAAUGUUGCGGGACAAAUUGUUGCAGGCGGUGAGGUCUGCAGCUGGCUUGUAG